UAAAUCAGUUAUGGUUCACUAGAUCGUCAAUUUUACACGGAUAACUGUGGUAAUUCUAGAGCUAAUACGUGCAAAUAGCUCGCUUCCUUGUGGAGCGAGCGCAGUUAUUAGAUCAAGACCAAUCCGGCUUUCGGGUCGGUAAAGUUGGUGACUCUGAAUAACCGAAGCGGAGCGCAUGGUCUCGUACCGGCGCCAGAUCUUUCAAGUGUCUGACUUAUCAGCUUGUUGUUAGGUUACGUUCCUAACAAGGCUUCAACGGGUAACGGGGUAUCAGGGUCCGAUACCGGAGAGGGAGCCUGAGAAACGGCUACCACAUCCAAGGAAGGCAGCAGGCGCGCAAAUUACCCACUCCUAGCACAGGGAGGUAGUGACGAAAAAUAACGAUGCGAGGGCUAUUAGCUUCUCGUAAUCGGAAUGGGUACACUUUAAAUCCUUUAACGAGGAUCUAUUGGAGGGCAAGUCUGGUGCCAGCAGCCGCGGUAAUUCCAGCUCCAAUAGCGUAUAUUAAAGUUGCUGCGGUUAAAAAGCUCGUAGUUGGAUCUGGGCUUCUGAAUGAGUGGUGCACUUUUCGGUGCAACUGCUCGUUUGGUGCCACAAGCCGGCCAUGUCUUGCAUGCUCUUCAUUGAGUGUGCAUGGCGACCGGAACGUUUACUUUGAAAAAAUUAGAGUGCUCAAAGCAGGCGUAUGGCCUUGCAUAAUGGUGCAUGGAAUAAUGGAAUAGGACCUCGGUUCUAUUUUGUUGGUUUUCGGAACUCGAGGUAAUGAUUAAUAGGAACAGACGGGGGCAUU
rnacentral:rRNA from 1 species